UACGGAGGGUGCAAGCGUUAUCCGGAUUUACUGGGUUUAAAGGGCGUGUAGGCGGGCCAUUAAGUCAGGGGUGAAAUCCCGGAGCUCAACUCCGGAACUGCCUUUGAUACUAUUGGUCUUGAAUGUUGUUGAGGUGGGCGGAACGGGUCAUGUAGCGGUGAAAUGCAUAGAUAUGACCCGGAACACCGAUUGCGAAGGCAGCCCGCUAAGAAGCUAUUGACGCUGAGGCACGAAAGCGUGGGGAGCAAACAGG
rnacentral:rRNA from 1 species